UCCGAGAUCGUUGGAGAACAGGCGCCGGCGAUCUGUUGCCUUCUCCUUCAGCGGUGGGCUCUGCUCUCCGCCAGGGGAGCUCUGGUUCUGCGCGCGAUGGCGCCGCCACGAUGGGCGGGGCUUCCGGCUUCCGCAUUCUUCCUGUUCUUCCUGCUUUUCGUGAUGCAGCUCGUAUGCUCCUUCCGGAUCGCCUCCUCCCGACAGUGAGUCAUUUGCCCCCUCCUAUUUCUCUGUAUAGCUCGAGUGAUCUUGGAUGCUUCUCCAUCUCGUCGAUGCUUGGGAACCUUGUUUCCCUCUCCCUGUGGCCACUUUGGAUUUCGCGUGUUGUUCUGUAGUGGAUCGGGCGAGUAAUGUGUGAUUUCGUGGGAACUUCCGUUUCAUCUGCCUACGGGAUUUCCUCUUAGAUCGGAUUUCGUGCAUCUUCGAGAUAGGGAACAAGGCUGGAUUAAAAAGUGAGUGAAUACCUUCCCUCUCAUCCAUCGCCCAAGGAUGCCUGCUUUCCCGGGACAUCUUCAUCUGAGAGAGUAAGAGUAAGGCAUCUUGGCUGUGCGAACUGUUGUGCGGUACUCGACGGAGGGGUGUCGGGGGGUUCUGGCCCGUCAUCUUGGUGGCGACUUCACGCUUAGCUUUCUCUUCUUCCUUCCUAGGUCUGCGUAUGAGCUUGUAGUAUCGUUAUGGGGUAGCAUUUUAUCCAAGUAUAGAUUCUAUGCGCCUUUGGACGGACCUUCUGUCAUGAGCUCUCAUGCAUGCAUUCGAGGGUUUGUUUCAGGAAAAAAUGCUCUUCAUAGGACUCUGGAAAAAUUGUAUCCAUCAUUUGGUAUCGGUUUGAUUAGAUUAAUGAGAUAAAGGAUGGUCAUAUAGACGAUGCUCAUGCUGAGAUUUUAUCUUGUGCGCUGAAGUCAUUGUUGUUGGAAUCCUAGCUCUUGUUAUACCUGCAGCAUUCUAAGAAGAAGAAACAAAGUUGCAAUGGGUGAUGCAGCCUUCUGAUAGAUCCAUUUUUCGGAGAAACUGGAUUCUGCAUCCUCGUUUUAUACGUGGCCCCAAUCUACUUGGAAAAACCAGUUGGUGCAAAAAUAAGAGAGAAAAAGAGGUAACCUUCUAUCUAUUUGCCAAGGUCUCUAUUCAAGGCUCAUGGCC
rnacentral:lncRNA from 1 species